UAUUUAUCUUCUUGUGCUUCCUCCUCUUAUCUCUUUGAAGAAUAGAGUUUGUUGCAGCAGUUGCUUAAAGAUAAAAAUCCAGAAGGUCAAAGAAACGGUUGUGCCUUGUUACAAUUGACUGAGAAAACCGUAUCUACUGUGGAAAUCAUUUCAUAGUACAAUAUGUAACUUGCUUGAGAUAUUUAUAACAAGCAAAUACAUUGUAUUGUGAAAUGAUUUAAUGAAUGUUUUCCAUAGAUCGGCUAUAAAAUGUCAUGAUCAACAACAGAUAUCGCUUCCAUGAAAGAGUAGAACGAGAAAAAGCAUGAAAACGAUAUAAAAUGUUACUGUAAACAAGAUUAUAUUUAAAUAUGAGGUAAAAAGAACUUAUGAAAAGCUCGUAAAUCUGAAGCUAUUUAUCUUCAUAUCUGGAAGAAAACAGAUCAAACUGAAUGAAACGUGUGAUUAGAAAUUUCGUAGAAUUGCUCCGGUUUGUUUCAAUGUAUUAAAGAUCAUUUACAGUGGAAGUAUAUAUAGAGCGUAUAAACACGUGUUCGUUUAUCAUGCCUGCAUCCACCUACGUACUUACGACACGUGCACGAGCGGCAGUUCUGUUUACACGAACGAAAAGUACGCAAUUGCUUCUUCAUGAUGGCAAUAUUAUCAUUAUUGCAGUCCCUUUUGGCAAAAUUGGAGCUUACCGCAGUGAUCGAAUAUCAAAAAGAACUCGAGAUCAAGGGAUAAGAGGACAAAAAGCCUUCGCUGAAUACAUCACCUAAGAAAGUCAGGACACAAAGCAAAAAUAUUACGUGUACAGAAGAGAACACGAAAAUAAUAUUUCCGAGGAAUAUUUUAUCCGAAUACACAAUUGAGAGACAGACUGAAAGGCGAGAAAGGAUAGUCUCGACAUUGUAAAGUUAAUGCAGAUGUUGUCGGUGACGGGAAAAUCCGUUGGAUUGCGAAAGGAAGUCAGACAAGGAGACGUUUCCUGCGGGAUUUUUCGCUGUUGGGCUCGAAGAGGCCGAAUUUUCAUUGCGCGCCAGUCGUCCCGCUGCAUCGAACUCGACUCGGGCAAGCCCUCUUCAGACAAUAACGCGGUUCACACACGCCGAAUACAUACACUGAUUGUCGUUACCACGUGAUUACUCUGUGACCCGAUAUGUUCUGCGAUUAGAGCUGCGGCGCAAUAACGAUAUUCGCACACGAGAAUUGGAUGUGAAUCAAUUCUCGCCUACUGCGCAGAAUACAUUUCCCCGUGUAUGCUUUUUGUUUCGCAUUCUCGGCAGUGGAGGGAAAGGAUACGUUUACAUCGGCGAACGAAAAGUCCAGCCAUUCGAAGAAAGGGAAUGCAAAAUGCCCGCUGUAGUCGGCACCGAUAACCCAAAUAGGCAAACAGACAAGAUACCUCUUAGAUUUCUAAAAAAUAUCUUGCAAUGUCUUGAGAUAUCUUACAUUUUUCCGAAAAGAUAUCUCUUAGGGAUCUAAAGGUAUUCUUCUAGACAUCUUUUAGAAAUGUAUCUUGAAGAUAUCUUUCAUAAAAUAUAUUUUAGAUGUCUACAAGAUAUCGAUGUUUACUGGGAAUCGUUCACCGUAAUUUAUACGAUGCUGAUGCGAUUGCAAUUUGUACGUUGUUUAUGUGUGACGCAAGUAAGAGCAUACGUCGGUGUAUGAGCACAGCGGCAGGAAUGUGGGAUAAAAAGAGUUCGCUAUCGUUGAAUAUUAUGUGGCUCAAGGAAAGAGCUGAAGAAAUUAGCGGGCGUAACGGUGCGACUUGCCGUUGCAUUGUAAAAUCGCGGCGCAAUUUUGUCGCGCCGCCGAGUGGAAAAUGCACGCAUGUAGCGGGCGCAACUUCAUUCGGCGUGUUGUUACAUACACCGCGCAUUGCACAUGUCGUUUAUCUGCGAACGGACGUUUUUCGAGAUUUUUAUAUUUACAACGUAUGAACGUCAUUGUUUUGCCACGCGUGUGUGAAACAUUAUUCGAAGGUCAUUCGGUGACGAGAAUGCGGUUAUGAUAAAACCGCACAUUUCGCCUUUCGAUACAAUGCGAAAUUCUUUUAUCUAUGCAUUGAGAGAAUGGCUGAAAUUCAACAAAUUGAUAGAUUAAUAAAAAAUUUAGUGCGAACACGCACAUGGCAAUACAGAAAACUUAAUUUUAAAAAUGCAAGUGGUGGAAGUCAAAGUGGAUAAUAAUUUGUUUUGUUUUUUUUUAACUUUGAUUACUCAACGACUUUUCGUUAGCCUGGAAAGAUAAUAUAAGAUAGCCUGAAAAAUAAUAUAACGAAUAUUCAUAAAAAAUUCCAUGAUUUUUGAUCUUCGUGUGCUGAAACAAGUGGAAAACUUUCAAGAGAUACGAACGAUCUCUUGAUUGAUCGGUUCAUAGUCGAAGGUUGUGCAAAAUUUAUAAUGCGCAAUUUAAUCGAUCGUUUUACGCUAUCACGAAUCUUAUCGCCGAUAGAUAACGGAUAGCAGAAUGCGUUCUUUCCUAUCUUUCGUAUCUUUCCUAUCUUGUAUCAUUAGGACGAUAAGUCGAACCGACGGCGAUAGCGCGUAUCGCAAUGCCAGGAAGUUGAUAUUGUAAGCUCGUAAAUUUAGAAAAGAGUCGUGCGAAAAAUAAUGUAUAUUUGCUGUGCUUUAAACGCAACUCCGUUUGAGUUCAAAGUCCGGUAAAGAUAUAUCAUAUGGCGAUACGCGAUGGCAAUAUAUGUUAUUGCUAUUACAUUAUAUUCGUUUUAAGGCCGGUUGUUCCAACUCCUUGGUAUUGAUAGUUAAAUCAUAUGUUUGUCUUCGUUUAAAUUGAAGGAAAAACAAAGAUAAACAUAUGAUGGCCCGAUUGUUCCAAUCGGGCCUUAAGUAGGUAGAUGCAAUGAUUGUCGAUAAGCAUCACACAACAAUGACACGCCGACUGUUUUACAGACUAUGGAACCAUUUUGUCGAUACACUAUCUAACGAAAGCGAGGAAUUAAUUACAAAUAUGGUGCAUGAUUUAUUCAUAUAGAUAUGUCGUUCAAUUACGCAAUGGUACUUGAGAGCAUUUAUCGAACUAAUAGGAAGUUUUUGCAAAAAUCGCAGCAGAACGAAAUCACAUGAGCGUGACAGCGGCUGGUAAACGAGACUCGCGAAAUCAUGUAUACGUGACAGCAGCAGUAAUGACAAGUCGUGGGAAAAAGUGGCGUAUGCGCACUGAGCAAACGCUGUGGUAGCUUCACGGAUAUAUAUAUGGAGCAUUAUUUUAGAUUCUUCAUAGACCCAGAAGUAUUGACCAAUUAGGAGCGAGAUUCAAUGGAAAAUCUAGUAAUGUUG